rnacentral:rRNA from 1 species
AAUCAACGCUGGCGGCGUGCCUCAGACAUGCAAGUCGAACGCUGCUGUUCGCCUUCGGGUGGACAGCGGAGUGGCGCACGGGUGAGUAACACGUAGGUAAUCUACCUUUGGGUGGGGAAUAACAGCCGGAAACGGCUGCUAAUACCGCAUAAUGCAGCGGCAUCACAUGAUGACAGUUGUUAAAGCGAGGGAUCGUAAGACCUCGCGCCUGAAGAGGAGCCUGCGGCAGAUUAGGUAGUUGGUGAGGUAAUGGCUCACCAAGCCUGCGAUCUGUAACCGGCCUGAGAGGGCGGUCGGUCACACUGACACUGACAUACGGGUCAGACUCCUACGGGAGCAGCAGUCGGGAA